UGAGCAAUCUGCCCUUCUCAUCGGAAUAAGCGUUGGAAACGACGUCUAAUGCCGAAUACGACCUCCUUUCGCAUGAUCGGAGGUGGAAAGCUCCGGCGGAGAAGGAUGAGCUCGCGGCCUAUCAGCUAGUUGGUGUGGGUAAUGGCCCACCAAGGCGACGACGGGUAGCCGGCCUGAGAGGGCGAUCGGCCACACUGGGACUGAGACACGGCCCAGACUCCUAGGGAAG
rnacentral:rRNA from 1 species